GCCAUACCGGGGAAGGAGAUUGGAAUCUGUAUCGGUCAAAAUCAAAGUUGAGAUCUGGAAGGUAAGUCCAGAGGGGAAUCCACCUUUUGGACAAUGCACUAGUUUGAAUAGACUGUUUGAGGUCGAGAAAUGAAAGGAUUUUGCAGAGAAUGGAAUCAGAUCUUGGUUUGAAGCUAGGAGUCAACUCUAAUGCCAGAAGUCUAUAAGAAUGUUAUAUUUUAAAGGUAAGACUUUUGUGCUUGUUGACUAAGUCUCUUACCUCAAUUCUAUGUAAUUUCUUUCCAAUCAACAAGAAUUUGUCACCUAAAUAUUUAUUUCUAUGUAGAUGUGUUGCACAAUAAAAUGUUCUCAAUUCCAUGCCU